CACAGAAGGACUGUUGGCAUUUACACUGUGCUGGCCUACGCUGUCUCUUUUACUCUCUGAAAUUAGAAGAAGACAGACUUGUGACACCGACAUCUUAAAACUCUGAUACUCAAUUGCAUGAAUUUGUUCGGAAGCGUCUCUCCCACCCCGAGCUCAUUCGGUAGCGGCUCACUACAAACAUGUGUUGCACCAGAUUUCUCAGCGAAUGCGGGAGGAAACCGGAGUGCCCGGAGGAAACCCACGCAGGCACGGGGAGAACAUGCAAACUCCACACAGGGCGUUCGGGAUUGAACCCGGGACCUCAGAACUGUGACGCCAAUGCUUUACCAUCUGAUCCACCGUGCCGCCCAUAGUUUAUAUCUAGUUUCCAAAGUUUCUCCAUUUCCAUUGCAUCAUUGACUAGCAGGUGUUGCUGUUGGGUCCUUCAUUUCC